GUUGAGAGGUAUAAAAAAAGGAUUGAGAGAAAAAAAAAAUAGAGAGAGAAAAAAAUGUGUAGGGAUUAAUGGUUCAAUAUGAUGAAAUGGCUGGAAAAAAGAGGCUG